CGCGGUGUGGCCCGAGGCCCUCGUCAUCAUCACACUGCUGACAGCAAGCCAUCUAACCUGGUCCGAGGUCCCAGGUAUGCAAAGAUACUGUUAUCAGACAGAACAUUCCAGCGGCUCCUAACCAGCUCAUGCCGGUCCGAGAAGGGCCAGGCCCUCCUUUGGAAUGUGCCAGAUGGCACAGCCUAAGCCUGCUGGGUUAACCCUUUACUGCCCAGCCAGCGUGAGAUGUGAGACGUCCACCUGGACCCGUGGGAGAUUUUGUGACCCUCAGGCAGCCCCUGCGUCCAGGCUACAGAAAGCCUGGGGACCCUGGGGCGUCUGGGGAAGCUGCUCCUCACUUCAAACCUCAGGAAAUGGCCUCCGAAGGGACCGGUGAGAUCUAGGCGAGUGUCUCCCGAAGUUCCAGAAGCCCAGGAGCUGACACUGGAUUCGCGCCUGGGAGAGCCCGGCGUGGCCGCUCUGGAUACAGGGCUUUGGGACCUGACCCCUUGCCCAGAUUGUCCUGGGAUCAAAACCCUGGGGUGUUUCUGGUGGCCGGAGGGAGAGACCCGGUGAGGGUCUUCCUGGGUCCCGGUCAAGGCCAUAAGGCCAGGACCAGAGCCAAAACCGAGAGUUGGAGGCUCAGCCGACUGAGCCGCCCAGGCGCCCCCGAGGAACGGAAGGGAACGAGGAAGCCCGCCCACGGGACCAUCCGUGGGGAACUUUCCUGUCCGGUUUCUACCCUCUGGAGAGCCCGAGACCCGUGAGCAAGACGUGGGACAGGGUCGGGGAAGCAUCUUUGUUGACUUCAGCCUGUCUGGCUCAAAGCUGGGGAAGGGGGACAGCCUCAGCCAAGAAAGAAGUGUCCAGGCUCCGAGCUGUGAGGCGAGAUGCCUGCCCUCCGCCGCGCCGUGGUCUGGAGAUGAUUCCUGAGCUUCAGCUCGGCCCUCAGGAGUUGCCUUCCGUCCACCUCCGUGCGCAGCCCACAGAGAGGAGAGGGGCUGCCCGGGGCACGCGUCCGGGAUGCUCGGCUGUCCCAGGACGGCCGGAAGCCAGGCGCGGAGAGGGGGCGCACCAGGAGUCACCAGGGACCAGCGUGGUUCUCACGCGGAACAGCAGGAGGCUGCGCUCUAACGCGGGGAACGUACGGUCUGGGAAGACAGAGCGAUGCUGGAGAAGCAUGCUCGGUGAACGCUUGCUACAUUGCGCCAAUUAAGCUAGAAAUUGUGCAUUUAAAUGUUACCUCCAGGCUGAACUCUGCGGGGGUAAAGUCUAGCAUACAAUUAACACACAGAGGGCGGAGGACUGAGCUCUCUCUCUCUCAGCUCUGACACAGAAGAGAGCAAAGAGUCUGAAAGGCAAGUUUAACAAACAACUCAUGACCACGACUACUGUGCUGACAAGGAAGGAAGGAAGGAAGAGAAAAGAAAAAUGUAGGGAACAGUUCAAAAAGGAGACGCUUGUUUAUUACAAGCAUCACAAGCGUUGACUUGAAAGAGUAUACAGAUGAAUUUUGCUUGUUCCUGACAGAAAUGUGAGCAGAAUGAAUGAUCAGAAUGCUUAAUUUUAAAAGAAAGGCAAAUGGCCAAAAUCAUAAGAAAAAAAAUGUUCCAGUAAAGGCAGAAUAAAACAAUCGGUUCGAUCCGAUUGAUUGAUUGUAAGCGUAGCAGAGAAACUAAGUGUGGAACAAUUUAAAUAACGAUCAAGUCAAACAAUGUAAAUGUCAAUCCAAAUGGGUGGGUUGCUUAAAUUAUGAUGAGUUAAAGAAUGGUGUGAAUAUGACCCUAUCCUGACAGAAACGUGGCUAUUUAUGGGUGUAGAUGUGUAUGAACAUAGGCACGGGCUGAAUGACUCAUGACGAAUUGGUGAUAGUUGACAUCAUAGAACUAUUCUUUUACUGACGAUAUUUACAUAUCAUAACAAGUAUGUAUCAAGAAAUCAAGAGGCAGACACUUGGGGCGUCUGGGGGGCUCAGUCAGUUGUUUCUGACUCAGUUUGGGCUCAGGUCAUGAUCUCCCAGUUCAUGGGGCCGAACCCCACGCUGCAGCGAGGAGCUUGCUUGGGCUUUGCUCUCUGACCCUCCCCACACCCCCUUCAAAAUAAAUAAAUGAACUGUAGGAAAGGAGGCAGACAGUGAGCCGACUGAGCCACCCAGGUGCCCCUAACCGGUGGCUGCUUAAAUCAAGUCCACCUGGUGGAUUAAGUCCAAGGGCUUCUUUGCUCCCUGUGCCCGUUCCAAACUCCCAGCGCCUUCCAGCUCGUUCCGUCCAGCACUCUGACCUGCCUCCGACCUCCCCGCAGUCAGCAGCCGACUUCUGGGUCACUGUCCCAACGUUCACGAGGGGGCAGGGCCCGCGGCUCUGCCUUCCGCUCCACCCGCACUCCCGCUUUAUCUCUUCCGGCGUCCGGAUCGUAGAAGUCGUCCCCACGAGCUGACCGCACCCCGCCCGGCAAGCCCGUUCCGUCUGCAGUCAGCGUGCUUUUCUCCGCGAUGACGUUUUUACCACGUGAAGCUACUUCUCCCUCCACAUCAGGUGAUGUCCGCAGGUGCUUGGAGAAAUUCCACUCUUAACUUUCUCAGCCUCCACAGAUGAGGAAGUCCUGCGAUACCUGUUCUUCCCUGACUUGUUUUACUCAGCAUAACACUCUCUAGUUCCAUCCACGUUGCUGCAAAUGGCAGGAUCUCAUCCUUUCUCAUCGCCGAGGAGUAUUCCGUGUAUAUAUAAGCCACAUCUUCUUUAUCCAUUCGUCAGUCGAUGGACAUUAGGGCUCUGCCCAUACUUUGUCUAUUGUCGAUAGCGCUGCUAUAAACAUGGGUGCAUGUGCCCUGUGCAUCAGCGUUUUUGUAUCCUUUGGAUAAAUUCCUAGUAGCGCAA